AACGAACGCUGGCGGCAGGCUUAACACAUGCAAGUCGAGCGCCCCGCAAGGGGAGCGACAGACGGGUGAGUAACGCGUGGGAAUCUACCCAUCUCUACGGAAUAACGCAUGGAAACGUGUGCUAAUACCGUAUACGUCCUUCGGGAGAAAGAUUUAUCGGAGGUGGAUGAGCCCGCGUUGGAUUAGCUAGUUGGUGGGGUAAAGGCCUACCAAGGCGACGAUCCAUAGCUGGUCUGAGAGGAUGAUCAGCCACACUGGGACUGAGACACGGCCCAGACUCCUACGGGAGGCAGCAGCGGGGAAUAUUGGACAAUGGGCGCAAGCCUGAUCCAGCCAUGCCGCGUGAGUGAUGAAGGCCCUAGGGUUGUAAAGCUCUUUCACCGGUGAAGAUAAUGACGGUAACCGGAGAAGAAGCCCCGGCUAACUUCGUGCCAGCCGCCGCGGUAACAC
rnacentral:rRNA from 1 species